rnacentral:tRNA from 1 species
GUGGUCGUAGCUCAGCUGGUAGAGCACCGGGUUGUGGUCCCGGGGUCGCGGGUUCAAGUCCCGUCGAUCACCCCA